CUGGAGUUCCUGGGGUACUGCCCUCAGGAGAACGCGCUGUGGCCCAACCUGACAGUGAGGCAGCACCUGGAGGUGUACGCCGCCGUGAAAGGGCUCAGGAAAGGGGAUGCUGAGGUUGCCAUCACACGGUUAGUGGAUGCGCUCAAGCUGCAGGACCAGCUGAAGUCUCCCGUGAAGACCUUGUCAGAGGGAAUAAAGAGAAAGGUACGGGCAGGGCUUGGUGUUGCUCUGCAAGUGCCAUAGAUGGGAACCAGAUGGGCUGUUCCUCCCUUUGCAGCUGUGCUUUGUCCUGAGCAUACUGGGGAACCCGUCAGUGGUGCUUCUGGACGAGCCGUCGACCGGGAUGGACCCCGAGGGGCAGCAGCAAAUGUGGUGAGGAACAUUACCACGGUCAGGGACAGCACGGAUGACUUGCAUGGAGCCUGUGAACCAUUUUUCUUCUGUAAAAAUUGUCCCUUAAACUCUUUUAUGGAGAACAAAAAAACUAUCAAUGUCACUUGUAAAACCAAUACUUUGCA
rnacentral:sRNA from 1 species